GACCCUGAAAUGCAAAAGAUUAUCAUAGAUGAGAUCCUGCAAUCUGUGUGCACUCUAGUGCAAGAUCAAUAUGGGAACUAUGUCAUUCAGCGAUGAGAACUUUAUGUGUUAAGAGCACAAAGAAUACUUGAAGACCAUUAUGGACUAAGUGAUGUUAAAGAGACAAUACUGGAGUUCAUAGUUGUUGGACAAGUUGUGCUGCAACAGCAUUCUACAUUGCUACCCACUUCUAUUCCCCGACCUCCAACUGCAAUUCAAAUGACAAUUAGAUUGUGUGUAUUAAUACAUUUGAUACCGUUUCUUACAAUGUAACACUUUACAAUGCCUACAUUUUUGUUAUUGUUAUUGAGCUUGUGUUUUUUAAUAUAAUAUAUUUUGCACUUAUAUUAUU